AGACCUGGAAAGAGCCCCUGGAAGAAGA
rnacentral:piRNA from 1 species